AUUGAACGCUGGCGGCAGGCCUAACACAUGCCAGUCGAGCGGAUGAAGGGAGCUUGCUCCUGGAUUCAGCGGCGGACGGGUGAGUAAUGCCUAGGAAUCUGCCUGGUAGUGGGGGAUAACGUCCGGAAACGGGCGCUAAUACCGCAUACGUCCUGAGGGAGAAAGUGGGGGAUCUUCGGACCUCACGCUAUCAGAUGAGCCUAGGUCGGAUUAGCUAGUUGGUGGGGUAAAGGCCUUCCAAGGCGACGAUCCGUAACUGGUCUGAGAGGAUGAUCAGUCACACUGGAACUGAGACACGGUCCAGACUCCUACGGGAGGCAGCAGUGGGGAAUAUUGGACAAUGGGCGAAAGCCUGAUCCAGCCAUGCCGCGUGUGUGAAGAAGGUCUUCGGAUUGUAAAGCACUUUAAGUUGGGAGGAAGGGCAGUAAGUUAAUACCUUGCUGUUUUGACGUUACCAACAGAAUAAGCACCGGCUAACUUCGUG
rnacentral:rRNA from 1 species